AUGUAUCUUUAUAUCAAUCAUAAACGGUCUUACCCCCCCCCCCCCCUGAAAGCGCCAAGUCGUGGGGGCGGAAAAAUCUGGACGGCUGAGAGGCAGCAAUUUCGUAACUCCGGCAAUGCGGAGAUCCGAGAGUUUCGCGCUAGAUUUGCGCAUUUAACGAUGACGGCAUACUGCUUACAUUCCUAAGCGUCAGUAAUUUGAAACAGGAGAAAACCUAAAAUUUGCCUUCAUUUUUGCGUCCUACCAAAUCACGUACCUACUCCAGAGUUGGAAUAGUGUCGCGUUUGAUCUCCGCAUACAACGAGGUAUACCUACAUGUAUAGACGUUAGUAAUUUGAAGUAAGUGAAGAGCCAAGAUUUUCCUUCAUUUCCGUGUGAUACCACAUCACAUACCUAGUUCAGAGUCAUAAUAGUUCCGUGCUUGAUUUCCAAGGAUGCGAGCAUGACGACUACAUUCAUACACGUCAGUUUGAGGUGGGUGAAAUGCUUAUACUUCCCUUCGUAUUCGCGUGAUAUUCGUAGUCGAAUAGGUAUCGCAAAUUAGUUCUCUCUUUGCGUUUAUCGCAAUGCAAGAUAAGAUAUUCAUGCAGUUUUCUAGGCGCUAACAUACGUAUAACGCUGAUCGUACUGUUUGGCGCAAUGCGUGAAGUAUUCCUACGGUCUCGCAGGCGCUGAUACGAGUUUGACGCGACCGCGAUGUCUUUUGCGCGAUUAUUUGAACUUGCGUUAAGAUAAUCGCGGCAUCGUAUAAUAAAGCCAUAGAAGACCAUGUUUUGUUUUGACUCUCGACGCCGUAAGAGCAUUCCAGCGUUGCCUUGUUUCAUCUCGGUACUUUUUUUUCCGAGAAAAGUUAGGAAAGUUCUCUAUGUUCGAUUUUUUAGAUUGAAUGGUCCAUUAAAAAAGGUUCGAAUUCAAGCACUCUGAUAAAUUAUUCUUCACCAGAAUUUUAUGUAAAACACGAUUCUUGCAACGAAAACUACUGAAAUUAACUUCUAAUGUCAUCAUCUUAUAUCAAUGUCAUUGUUGAUGACAUCCGAGUCCAUGACACGUUCAACCCAUCUCUUUGAAAACAAUAUUUUUCAGACAGAUUUUUUCUGUGGUUUUUGUCCAUCUCUACUUCUGUGCUGAUUUCGGUUCUGUAUUUGUUAUACCUUUGGCUUGAUCUAAACCUUAGACGAAAAUUAUAGCUCAUUGAUUUUAUGUUCAAAAUCAUUCUCAUUUUCGUGUGUGUAUGAGUGUGCUCGUAUACAGAAAUUUUCAAGGCAGCAAAUUCAAAAUUAUGUAAAUGUUGAUGUAAAAUUGAGUGGAUGUUCUGUGCUGCAAAAGCCUUUAUGAAGGUGCUGUUUGACUUAAUUUUUUUUUAUUUAUUUAUUUAAAUGUAUAUGGUCUUUUCAUAUUUAAUGCUAUUGACAAUUUCUCCCGACUUGUGGGAUGAAUUCAUUCCUUCAAAUGAAAAAUUGAACCAACAAAAAGGAUACACAAAUUCUUAAAAAACUUUCGAGACGUAUGCUGGUAAUCCUCAUAUCUGAUCCAUCGCGAUGGUCCGAGAAAAGUCGGAAAACGUUCAGAAUUUUCCCCCAAACUUUUGUAUCCGCUCCGAUUUUAUCAAUGGCCUAAUUAAUUUUGGUCUCAUGAUCGUAAUGUGUUCACAGGUCUGAUUUCCUGGCCCGUUUCUCCAAGUAACAUUCUUGCCAACAGCGAAAAGAAGUACCGCUGUCAUGUUUGCGGUUCGGCGUAUGUCAACUCAAACAAUUUACAAAAACACAUGAAAUCUCACACAGGUCAAACCAAAUGCCCAAUAUGCCACAAAAUAGCCUCGACCAAAGCCAGUCUUCAAAGGCAUUUAAUUUUAGUCCAUAAUUUGCGCUAGUGUAACUUUUCAUGCCAUUUCCAUCACGCCAGAACAGUUCUGAGGAUUGGUUGAAUUUCAACUUGACAUCCUACCAAUAAUCUUCCUUGUCAUUUUUGUUGUUGUUUAUUAAAGCGUCUCUAUUUUCUUUAAAAUUAUGAAUUCUUCUUUCCCUGUUUUAAGAGUAUGACCGUCCUACAAUUUUGCUAUCAGCAGAUUCGCAAAUUGUUUCGAAUUGAAAUGUUGCUAAAUUUUAGCCAGUGAAAAAUGUUUGAUAUCCAUCAGCAGGGAAUCAAACACCUGCAGGUUUUGACCCUGAUAUUUUUAUCUAAAAGAGAAGGCUUAGAAUAGGUACGACGCCCUCACACGUGGAAAUUUUAUUUUACAUUAUAUUUAGUUUUUGUCUUCACGAGAAAGACAAAUUGUACCCUACAGUGGCGUGGCGUGCUUUGCGAUAUAUCGCUUGCUCUGCCAUUUAAACCUAUGGAACAGGAUGGAUGAACAGGGUGUUCGCAGCGAACACCUUAAUAAUCGAUUCUUUACCAUUGCAUUAAUGGGGAAAUAUCGAUAAUCGAUCAUUUACGCCACGCCACUGAAACCCUAGCCACCUUCUUGCCCAUUCUGCCGUGCUAAAGAAAAACGCGGUAUGAACGUUCGACAGUUGCCCAAUUUCCGCGGAUAAAACAAGUAUUUUAGAGGAAAGUUAUGCAUAUGCAUAUUUUAAGUUGAAAUUUUCUGAUAUUUUACAUUAAAUUCCAAACAAAAUUGAAGAAAUAUAUUCACAAUGUCCUCAUUAAAGUUUCCUUUUAUUGAAGGAAAUAGGGUAAUGUCUGAAGGCUCAUACGGCGUUCUUCCUUCGCAAGGCAGCAUUGCCGUCCAAUCCUUGAGGGGGAGCAUCCUCUAAGGGCCACGCUGGGGGAAUAGUUUUCAAAAUUCGUUUUUUUUUUAUUAAAUUCAAAUCUUCACUGGUAAAAAAAAACACAUUGGAUCUAGAGUCCAGACUCUUGAAAACAUUGACAAGAAAAUGGACUCGUGAUUCAAUCAGAUUUAAGCUUAAAUCAAGAACCAAGCCUCUUAAU
rnacentral:lncRNA from 1 species